ensembl:lncRNA
CUUUCUGUCUUCCACCACUGGCCCUUGGGGCAUUCUGGUGCAGAUCCUUAAUAUGAACUUUCAUGGGACAUUGCCAUGGCCUCCAAGCCCGUGACUGGAUCCUUUGGUUCUCCAGUGCGUAGAUGGAUGUUUGCACUCUUCUACAUCUGACUCUAACUCCUGCUAUAUCGCCCAGGGUCACCUUGAACUCACAGUCCUCCUGCUGCAGCCUCUGGAGUAGCUGGGAUUGUAGUCAUGUGCCACCAUGCCUGGCCAGAAACAAUGUUUUAGAUUACUGGGAAUUGAACUCAGGACCUUGUGCUUGCCAGGAAGGCGCAGUGCCACUGAGCUGAAACCUCAGCC